GCUUACGGCCAUACCAGCCUGAAUACGCCCGAUCUCGUCCGAUCUCGGAAGCUAAGCAGGGUCGCGCCUGGUUAGUACUUGGAUGGGAGACCGCCUGGGAAUACCAGGUGCUGUAAGCU
rnacentral:rRNA from 13 species